CUUUGAAUCUGGCAGACUUUGCUGUCCGAGUUGUAGUCUCGAGAAGUGUUUUCCGCGCUGAAACGCGUAUGAGUCUGUUGGAAUACAGCGUCAUAAAGGGUGAGAACCCCGUUCAAGACACGUCUAUCAGUGCUUUGUGAUACGCUUUCGAUGAGUCGAGUUGUUUGGGAAUGCAGCUCAAAAUGGGUGGUAAAUUCCAUCUAAAGCUAAAUAUUGGCGAGAGACCGAUAGCAAACAAGUACCGUGGGGGAAAGAUGAAAAGCACUUUGGAAAGAGAGUUAAAAGUACGUGAAAUUGUUGAAAGGGAAACGCUUGAAGUCAGACGUGCGCGGUAUUUAUACCACUGCAGGCCAGCAUCGGUUUCACAAGCCGGAUAAAGGUUAGAGGAAGGUGGCAGCUUCGGUUGUGUUAUAGCCUCUAACUGAAUACGGAAUGAGAGACCGAGGGACGCAGCGCGCCGCARGGCAAAGGAUUCGUCCUUUUCGCGCUUAGGAUGCUGGUGAAAUGGCUUUAAACGACCCGUCUUGAAACACGGACCAAGGAGUCUAACAUGCUUGCGAGUGUUUGGGUGGUCAAACCCAUACGCGUAAUGAAAGUGAACGGAGGUGGGAUCCUUUACCGGCGCACCAUCGACCGAUCCAGAUUUUUAAUGAAGGAUUUGAGUAASAGCACGUAUGUUGGGACCCGAAAGAUGGUGAACUAUGCCUGAAUAGGGUGAAGCCAGAGGAAACUCUGGUGGAGGCUCGUAGCGGUUCUGACGU
rnacentral:rRNA from 1 species